rnacentral:tRNA from 1 species
UGGCUCAAAGGAGGAGGGCACUGGCCCCAUAUGCCAGAGGUGGCAGGUUCAAGCCCUGC